ensembl:rRNA 5S_rRNA 5S ribosomal RNA
AUCUACAGCCAUACCACCCUAAACAUGCCCCAAAUCUUCUGAUCUUGGAAGCUAAACAAGGUCUGGCCUGGUUUGUACUUAGAUGGGAGACCACCUGGAAAUACCAGGUGCUGUAGGCU